rnacentral:misc_RNA from 1 species
AUGGAAUAUCAUAUGUAUUGUUGAAUCCAACUUGAAGCUCUUUUGAACAAGCGAGGAAUGAAUGACCUGUCACGACCCAAAAAGGGAUGUGAUGGUACUCGUCUUAUCCCACCAAGAUAAGUCAGCCUAAAAUCCAACCAUUACGAUAAAUUGUGGAAAUAAAAUGAUAAUAAAAGUCCAAAAUUAUAAAAUAAUGCGGAAAUUCAUAAUCAACUUCAAUA